rnacentral:rRNA from 1 species
GACGAACGCUGGCGGCGUGCCUAAUACAUGCAAGUCGAACGCAGUGGGGACGGGUGAGUAACACGUGGGUAACCUCCCAUCAGAGGGGAUAACACUUGGAAACAGGUGCUAAACCGAUACUGAUGGAUGGACCCGCGGUGCAUUAGCUAGUUGGUGAGGUAACGGCUCACCAAGGCCACGAUGCAUAGCCGACCUGGGCGGGUGGUCGGCUAGAAUGGGACACAGAAACGGCCCAGAAUCCUACGGGAGGCAGCCGUGGGAAAACUACGGAAAUGGACGAAAGUCUGACCGAGCAACGCCGCGUGAGUGAAGAAGGUUAUCGGACCGUAAAACUCGGUGGUUAGAGAAGAGGUAUCUAACCAGAAAGCCACGGCUAACUACGUGCCAGCCGCCGCGGUAAUAC